rnacentral:lncRNA from 1 species
CCCCUAGCUGUGAGCACCUGACCUUCUCCUACCUCCACGAGCCCCCAGUUGCCUCUUGCAUCCUCGAGCCCCCAACCGUAAGCACCCGACUGCCUCCCGCCUCCUCGAGCCCCUGGCCACGAGCCCCCGACCACCUUCUGCCUCCUUAAGCCCUCGACAACCUCUCGCAUCUUCGAGCCCCCGAACUCGAGCACUUGACCGCCUCCUGCAUCCUCGAGCCCCC